GUGGGGAAUAUUGGGCAAUGGGCGCAAGCCUGACCCAGCAACGCCGCGUGAAGGAAGAAGGCUUUCGGGUUGUAAACUUCUUUUACCAGGGACGAAACAAAUGACGGUACCUGGUGAAUAAGCCACGGCUAACUACGUGCCAGCAGCCGCGGUAAUACGUAGGUGGCGAGCGUUAUCCGGAUCUAUUGGGUGUAAAGGGCGUGUAGGCGGGACAGCAAGUCAGAUGUGAAAACCAGAGGCUCAACCUCUGGCCUGCAUUUGAAACUGUUGUUCUUGAGUGUCGGAGAGGUAAUCGGAAUUCCGUGUGUAGCGGUGAAAUGCGUAGAUAUACGGAGGAACACCAGUGGCGAAGGCGACUUACUGGACUGAAACUGACGCUGAGGCUCGAAAGCGUGGGGAGCGAACAGGAUUAGAUACCCUAGUAGUCC
rnacentral:rRNA from 1 species